AGCAUCCGUAGCCGGUUGCAUAAGUUUUCGGUUAAAUCUAUGCGCUCAACGUAUAGGCCGCCGAAAAUACUGUGCAGCUAGGGAGUGGGAGAGGUACACGGUACUCAGUAGGAAGGGGUAAAAUCCUUUGAUCUAUUGAUGACCACCUGUGGCGAAGGCGGUGUACCAGAACACGUUCGACGGUGAGGGAUGAAAGCUGGGGGAGCAAACCGGAUUAGAUACCCGGGUAGUCCCAGCUGUAAACGAUGCAGACUCGGUGAUGCAUUGGCUUGUGGCCAAUGCAGUGCCGCAGGGAAGCCGUUAAGUCUGCCGCCUGGGAAGUACGUACGCAAGUAUGAAACUUAAAGGAAUUGGCGGGGGAGCACAA
rnacentral:rRNA from 2 species